rnacentral:rRNA from 1 species
AGCUGUAAGUAAGCUUUGAUCCAGAGAUUUCCGAAUGGGGAAACCCAGCAUGAGUUAUGUCAUGUUAUCGAUAUGUGAAUACAUAGCAUAUCAGAAGGCACACCCGGAGAACUGAAACAUCUUAGUACCCGGAGGAAGAGAAAGAAAAUUCGAUUCCCUUAGUAGCGGCGAGCGAAACGGGAAGAGCCCAAACCAACAAGCUUGCUUGUUGGGGUUGUAGGACACUCUAUACGGAGUUACAAAGGACGACAUUAGACGAAUCAUCUGGAAAGAUGAAUCAAAGAAGGUAAUAAUCCUGUAGUCGAAAAUGUUGUCUCUCUUGAGUGGAUCCUGAGUACGACGGAGCACGUGAAAUUCCGUCGGAAUCUGGGAGGACCAUCUCCUAAGGCUAAAUACUCUCUAGUGACCGAUAGUGAACCAGUACCGUGAGGGAAAGGUGAAAAGCACCCCGGAAGGGGAGUGAAAUAGAACCUGAAACCGUGUGCUUACAAGUAGUCAGAGCCCGUUAAUGGGUGAUGGCGUGCCUUUUGUAGAAUGAACCGGCGAGUUACGAUUUGAUGCAAGGUUAAGCAGUAAAUGUGGAGCCGUAGCGAAAGCGAGUCUGAAUAGGGCGUUUAGUAUUUGGUCGUAGACCCGAAACCAGGUGAUCUACCCUUGGUCAGGUUGAAGUUCAGGUAACACUGAAUGGAGGACCGAACCGACUUACGUUGAAAAGUGAGCGGAUGAACUGAGGGUAGCGGAGAAAUUCCAAUCGAACCUGGAGAUAGCUGGUUCUCUCCGAAAUAGCUUUAGGGCUAGCCUCAAGUGAUGAUUAUUGGAGGUAGAGCACUGUUUGGACGAGGGGCCCCUCUCGGGUUACCGAAUUCAGACAAACUCCGAAUGCCAAUUAAUUUAACUUGGGAGUCAGAACAUGGGUGAUAAGGUCCGUGUUCGAAAGGGAAACAGCCCAGACCACCAGCUAAGGUCCCAAAAUAUAUGUUAAGUGGAAAAGGAUGUGGCGUUGCCCAGACAACUAGGAUGUUGGCUUAGAAGCAGCCAUCAUUUAAAGAGUGCGUAAUAGCUCACUAGUCGAGUGACACUGCGCCGAAAAUGUACCGGGGCUAAACAUAUUACCGAAGCUGUGGAUUGUCCUUUGGACAAUGGUAGGAGAGCGUUCUAAGGGCGUUGAAGCAUGAUCGUAAGGACAUGUGGAGCGCUUAGAAGUGAGAAUGCCGGUGUGAGUAGCGAAAGACGGGUGAGAAUCCCGUCCACCGAUUGACUAAGGUUUCCAGAGGAAGGCUCGUCCGCUCUGGGUUAGUCGGGUCCUAAGCUGAGGCCGACAGGCGUAGGCGAUGGAUAACAGGUUGAUAUUCCUGUACCACCUAUAAUCGUUUUAAUCGAUGGGGGGACGCAGUAGGAUAGGCGAAGCGUGCGAUUGGAUUGCACGUCUAAGCAGUAAGGCUGAGUAUUAGGCAAAUCCGGUACUCGUUAAGGCUGAGCUGUGAUGGGGAGAAGACAUUGUGUCUUCGAGUCGUUGAUUUCACACUGCCGAGAAAAGCCUCUAGAUAGAAAAUAGGUGCCCGUACCGCAAACCGACACAGGUAGUCAAGAUGAGAAUUCUAAGGUGAGCGAGCGAACUCUCGUUAAGGAACUCGGCAAAAUGACCCCGUAACUUCGGGAGAAGGGGUGCUCUUUAGGGUUAACGCCCAGAAGAGCCGCAGUGAAUAGGCCCAAGCGACUGUUUAUCAAAAACACAGGUCUCUGCUAAACCGUAAGGUGAUGUAUAGGGGCUGACGCCUGCCCGGUGCUGGAAGGUUAAGAGGAGUGGUUAGCUUCUGCGAAGCUACGAAUCGAAGCCCCAGUAAACGGCGGCCGUAACUAUAACGGUCCUAAGGUAGCGAAAUUCCUUGUCGGGUAAGUUCCGACCCGCACGAAAGGCGUAACGAUUUGGGCACUGUCUCAACGAGAGACUCGGUGAAAUCAUAGUACCUGUGAAGAUGCAGGUUACCCGCGACAGGACGGAAAGACCCCGUGGAGCUUUACUGUAGCCUGAUAUUGAAAUUCGGCACAGCUUGUACAGGAUAGGUAGGAGCCUUUGAAACGUGAGCGCUAGCUUACGUGGAGGCGCUGGUGGGAUACUACCCUAGCUGUGUUGGCUUUCUAACCCGCACCACUUAUCGUGGUGGGAGACAGUGUCAGGCGGGCAGUUUGACUGGGGCGGUCGCCUCCUAAAAGGUAACGGAGGCGCUCAAAGGUUCCCUCAGAAUGGUUGGAAAUCAUUCAUAGAGUGUAAAGGCAUAAGGGAGCUUGACUGCGAGACCUACAAGUCGAGCAGGGUCGAAAGACGGACUUAGUGAUCCGGUGGUUCCGCAUGGAAGGGCCAUCGCUCAACGGAUAAAAGCUACCCCGGGGAUAACAGGCUUAUCUCCCCCAAGAGUUCACAUCGACGGGGAGGUUUGGCACCUCGAUGUCGGCUCAUCGCAUCCUGGGGCUGUAGUCGGUCCCAAGGGUUGGGCUGUUCGCCCAUUAAAGCGGUACGCGAGCUGGGUUCAGAACGUCGUGAGACAGUUCGGUCCCUAUCCGUCGUG